rnacentral:rRNA from 1 species
GACGUAGGGCGCGAGCGUUGUCCGGAUUUAUUGGGCGUAAAGAGCUCGUAGGCGGCUUGUCGCGUCGUUCGUGAAAACCCGGGGCUCAACUCCGGGCUUGCGGGCGAUACGGGCAGGCUAGAGUUCGGUAGGGGAGACUGGAAUUCCUGGUGUAGCGGUGAAAUGCGCAGAUAUCAGGAGGAACACCGGUGGCGAAGGCGGGUCUCUGGGCCGGUACUGACGCUGAGACGCGAAAGCGUGGGGAGCGAACAGG